ACUGCUUCUCAGUCUCUUGGCCAAGAUCAACGUUAGUGUCUGUUCUCAUCAGUGUAGUAUCUGAUGCAUCCUCUAUGUGGGGUCUAAAUAAUAAAUUGAUUAUUGGAACAGGGAAAUUACUUAAGGGUAUGCUUCAUCUACUCCAUGCAUUGACCUGAUAUUGCAGUACCCCCAGGAACAGUGCACCUCCU